GUCUAUGGCCAUGCUACCCUGAACAAGCCUGAUCCCGUCUGAUCUCAGAAGCUAAGCACGGUCAGGCUUGAUUAGUACUUGGAAGGGAGACCGACUAGGAAGACCAGGAGCUGUAGGUG
rnacentral:rRNA from 1 species